rnacentral:lncRNA from 1 species
UACCAAUCUUUUAUGAUGGAAAUCUCUCUAAACCCUGGCGAUAACAUUUCUCAUCAAGAAAUUGAGGAUGGUGAUGGUUCUCGGAUAGAUGUAGAUCGUAAUAGAAAGAAAGUUCGUUUCAAAUAGGGUAAUGGUGAGGAAAUCACUAAUAUGAUGGUUGAAUCUGGUCCGAGUCAAAUUUUAUCUUGGAAGGAUAAACUUCUGGGGAAUAAUUCUGGAGCGUCUGAUAAGUUGAGGUUGGAUAAUUCUGGUGCUAGUGGUAAUGAAGAUUUGGAAUUUUUGGAAGGAGAUAUUCACAGAUCCAUUGUUAAUGGAAUACCUAUUAUUGAUUUCUCAGAGAGGAUCUAACAAUAUUGGGUAUGGGGCUUUAAAUAAUCGAAUCAAUAGUUUAUGGAAUCCCUCCAAGCCUUUCCAUCUCAUGGACAUAGAGAAUGGAUACUUUCUGGCUAAAUUUCAGUCCACCGAAGACUAUGCAAAAGUUCUUCGCAAGGUCCUUAGCUAAUUUAUGGUCAAUAUCUGACUGUUCAACCUUGGACCAAAGAAUUCAACCCCUUACAACCAUACCCAAGCAUGGUGAUGGCUUGUAUACGGUUACUAGGCCUCCCAGGGUUUCUGUACAAAAGGAAAAUUCUUGAAGAAAUAAGAGAGACCAUAGGAAAGGUUGUUCGGUUAGAUUUCAAUACUAAUAGUAGAAUUAGAGGCCACUUCGCCAAGAUGGUUGUUUAUGUCAACCUGGACAAGCCUCUGGUCGCUCAAGUUCUUAUGAGUGGUUUACAUCAGAAAGUUGAGCAUGAAGCGCUGCCUAUGAUUUGCUUCACCUGCGGGAAGUACGGACAUGCUAAGGAGCUAUGUGCUUCGCCACAACCGGAUCUGGCAGUGGGGAAGGAUCAGAAGGGUACUAAUCUGACAGAGGCUGUAAGCAGAGGAGAAGGUGCUGUUUACGGGCCAUGGAUUAUGGUUGAAAGGAAAGGAAGGUGUAGUUCUAGGAACAACAAUAUUAAAAAAACUGAUUUUACGGAGAAAGGAAAAUUGGGUUCUCGAUUUGAUGCUCUGGCUAAUAUGGAAGUUUUGCUUGAUCUAAAAGAUGAGUUAAAUAAGGAAGAUACUGGAAAGUUGGCUGGUUUUAAGAAUAAAUUGAAGGUUGGAGAGAAUGUUAUGUAACAGGGGUUUAAGACACAGGGCAACCCUAAGUCAACAAGGACAUAGAGAAUGGAUACUUUCUGGCUAAAUUUCAGUCCACCGAAGACUAUGCAAAAGUUCUUCGCAAGGUCCUUAGCUAAUUUAUGGUCAAUAUCUGACUGUUCAACCUUGGACCAAAGAAUUCAACCCCUUACAACCAUACCCAAGCAUGGUGAUGGCUUGUAUACGGUUACUAGGCCU